UACGGAGGGUGCAAGCGUUUUUCGGAAUCAUUGGGCGUAAAGCGCGUGUAGGCGGCUUGGUAAGUCGGGUGUGAAAGCCCGGGGCUUAACCCCGGAACUGCAUUCGAAACUGCCUCGCUAGAGUCCCGGAGGGGAAGGCGGAAUUCCCGGUGUAGAGGUGAAAUUCGUAGAUAUCGGGAGGAACACCCGUAGCGAAGGCGGCCUUCUGGACGGUGACUGACGCUGAGACGCGAAAGCGUGGGGAGCAAACAGG
rnacentral:rRNA from 1 species